UACGGAGGGUGCAAGCGUUAUCCGGAUUCACUGGGUUUAAAGGGUGCGUAGGCGGGCAGGUAAGUCAGUGGUGAAAUCUUUGGGCUUAACCCGAAAACUGCCACUGAUACUAUCUGUCUUGAAUAUUGUGGAGGUUUGCGGAAUAUGUCAUGUAGCGGUGAAAUGCUUAGAUAUGACAUAGAACACCUAUUGCGAAGGCAGCAAACUACGCAUAUAUUGACGCUGAGGCACGAAAGCGUGGGGAUCAAACAGG
rnacentral:rRNA from 1 species